rnacentral:tRNA from 1 species
GCAUCGGUGGUUCAGUGGUAGAAUGCUCGCCUGCCUGGCGGGCGGCCCGGGUUCGAUUCCCGGCCGAUGCA